GGGGAAUUUUGGACAAUGGGGGAAACCCUGAUCCAGCCAUGCCGCGUGUGUGAAGAAGGCCUUCGGGUUGUAAAGCACUUUCGGACGGAACGAAAUCGCGCGGGUUAAUACCCCGCGUGGCUGACGGUCCUGUAAGAAGAAGCACCGGCUAACUUCGUGCCAGCAGCCGCAGUAAUACGAAGGGGGCUAGCGUUGUUCGGAAUUACUGGGCGUAAAGCGCGCGUAGGCGGCUUUGCAAGCCAGGGGUGAAAUGCCUGAGCUCAACUUGGGAAUUGCCUUUGGGACUGUGAGGCUUUGAGGACUGGAGAGGUGAGUGGAAUUCCCAGUGUAGAGGUGAAAUUCGUAGAUAUUGGGAAGAACACCGGUGGCGAAGGCGGCUCACUGGCCAGUUUCUGACGCUGCAGCGCGAAAGCGUGGGGAUCAA
rnacentral:rRNA from 1 species